rnacentral:rRNA from 1 species
GUAAUAUAUAGAUAACGUGCCUCUUAGUCUGGGAUAGCCAUUGGAAACGAUGAUUAAUACCGGAUACUCCUUCUAACUCUAAUGUUAGUCGGGAAAGUUUUUCGCUAAGAGAUCGGUCUAUAUCCCAUCAGUUAGUUGGUAAGGUAACGGCUUACCAAGGCAAUGACGGGUAGCGGGUUUGAGAGGAUGAUCCGCCACACUGGUACUGAGACACGGACCAGACUCCUACGGGAGGCAGCAGUGAGGAAUAUUGCACAAUGGGGGAAACCCUGAUGCAGCAACGCCGCGUGGAGGAUGACGCAUUUCGGUGUGUAAACUCCUUUUAUGAGUCAAGAAAAUGACGGUAGCUCAUGAAUAAGCACCGGCUAACUCCGUGCCAGCAGCCGCGGUAAUACGGAGGGUGCAAGCGUUACUCGGAAUCACUGGGCGUAAAGGACGCGUAGGCGGGAUGCCAAGUCUGAUGUGAAAUCCUAUGGCUUAACCAUAGAACUGCAUUGGAAACUGGUAACCUAGAGUAUGGGAGGGGGAGAUGGAAUUAGUGGUGUAGGGGUAAAAUCCGUAGAUAUCACUAGGAAUACCGAAAGCGAAGGCGAUCUCCUGGAACAUAACUGACGCUAAGGCGUGAAAGCGUGGGGAGCAAACGGGAUUAGAUACCCCGGUAGUCCACGCCCUAAACGAUGAACACUAGUCGUCGCUCUGCUUGUCAGGGCGGUGAUGCACUUAACAGAUUAAGUGUUCCGCCUGGGGAGUACGGUCGCAAGAUUAAAACUCAAAGGAAUAGACGGGGACCCGCACAAGUGGUGGAGCAUGUGGUUUAAUUCGAAGAUACGCGAAGAACCUUACCUAGCCUUGACAUUGAUAGAAUACCCUAGAGAUAGAGUAGUGCCUUUCGGGGAACUUGAAAACAGGUGCUGCACGGCUGUCGUCAGCUCGUGUCGUGAGAUGUUGGGUUAAGUCCCGCAACGAGCGC